CAGUAGCCACGGUAAUACGAAGGGGGCUAGCGUUGUUCGGAAUUACUGGGCGUAAAGCGCACGUAGGCGGACAUUUAAGUCAGGGGUGAAAUCCCGGGGCUCAACCCCGGAACUGCCUUUGAUACUGGGUGUCUAGAGUAUGGAAGAGGUGAGUGGAAUUCCGAGUGUAGAGGUGAAAUUCGUAGAUAUUCGGAGGAACACCAGUGGCGAAGGCGGCUCACUGGUCCAUUACUGACGCUGAGGUGCGAAAGCGUGGGGAGCAAACAGGAUUAGAUACCCCAGUAGUCCCUGUCUCUUAUAA
rnacentral:rRNA from 1 species